rnacentral:lncRNA from 1 species
UUAAAUAUCUCCAAAAAUUCACAAAAUUCACCAUUUUCUUCCCUUGUGUUGGCCGAACCUCUCAUCAAAGAAGAAAGAAAAACUCUUCCAAGUUUAAGCUUCCAACAAGCUCAAAUCACCCAACUCAAGUCCUUAAACUAGAAUCUACUCCAUGAAAUUCCUUCCUUUGGUGCUCUUGAGUGUAUUAGUGAAGUUGAUUUGAAGAGCUAAGGUGUCCACACUCCCUAUCUCUCUUGAUUGCUUGGUAAGUGAUGCUUGAACACCCUACUACAUCUAAUGAUGGUUAUAUUAUGCUUAGAAGUGGCUUGAGUGUUGGAAAAUGUGAUUUAUUUCUUGAUUUGAAGAGUUUUGGUGAAGUUUUCCAUUUUAUGAUGAAUUUUCUGGUUUCAUAUGAUUUUGAUGUUUUGGACUAGUAUGAUGGUUGGUAAUAAGGGGCUUUGGCUCUAGUAGGUGUGAAUUGUGGUUAAAUGCAACCAAUUUUGGAUUUGGAAUGAAAUGUGAAAAGUUAGGGUUCAUGAACCCCUAUUCUGUCCGAAAUUUUAGGUCAUAGCUAGAGGCCGAAUUGGACUUUGCUCAAAACAUGAAAGUUGUAGGUAUUGAUGAUUUUGAAGAGCCUGCAAAAUUUCAGGGCAUUUGGAGUAGUAUAGAGAGAGUUAUGCCGUUUUUACUG